GGGCUCAGGAAGCAGAGUCAGGGGUCGUCUCCGCCAUGGAUCGGGCUCCACUUCUCCUCGCCCUCCUUGCUCACUGCACAGGGUCCUGGGCCCAGUUUGUGCUGACUCAGCCCCCCUCUGUGUCGGGGUCUCCGGGACAGAAGGCCACCAUCUCCUGCACCCGCAGCAGCGGCAACAUUGGGAGCAACUAUGUAUCAUGGUACCAACAGCGCCCAGGCCGUUCCCCCACCACUGUGAUCUAUGGUGAUGAUCGAAGACCCUCCGGGGUCCCGGAUCGGUUCUCCGGCUCCAUGGACAGCUCCUCCAACACCGCCCACCUGACCAUCUCUGGGCUGCAGCCUGAGGACGAGGCCGACUACUACUGCCAGUCUUAUGAUGGUAGUACUAGUAAUCACACAGUGCUCAGCCUCAUGGGGAAGUGA